GAUGAAGAACGCAGCGAAAUGCGAUAAUUAAUGUGAAUUGCAGAAUUUAGUGAAUCAUCGAAUCUUUGAACGCACAUUGCGCCCAUUAGUAUUCUAGUGGGCAUGCCUGUUCGAGCGUCAUUUCAACCCUUAAGCCUAGCUUAGGGUUGGGAAUCUGCUGUAUUGCAGUUCCUCAAAUACAACGGCGGAUCUGUAACAUCCUCUGAGCGUAGUAAAUUUUUAUCUCGCUUUUGUUAGGUGUUGCAGCUCUCAGCCGCUAAACCCCCCAAUUUUUGUGGUUGACCUCGGAUCAGGUAGGAAUACCCGCUGAACUUAAGCAUAUCAAUAAGCGGAGGA
rnacentral:misc_RNA from 1 species